AUUAUGUCUACUGUUGGUUAGCAACCUCUUUUUGCCCCUCAUUAUGUCAUCUGUACAGACCACAGAGCUGUAAAAUGUACCAUGCUGCAGUGCUUCUUCCUAGCAGACAUGCACCUUAAAGAGAUCAUCUGGCAGAAUUUAAGAUACAUUUGUCUAUACAUCUGUAUGUAAGUAAACACACACACACACACACACACACACACACACACACACACAAUUUCAAAGGAGCAUUGUAGGAAUGAGGACUGUAAGCAUAGAAGACAAUGGACAUCAGCCUGCAAAUACAUGGGAUGAUUAAAAAAAUAAUAAUGCAUAAAGAAAUGGUUGGUUGUUCUUGCUUACCACACGGAUUGUGCAUCUGCAGAAUUCUGAAUGGGAGUUGCUUUUAAAACAUACCUUGCAGGUAUCUUGUCUUGAGACAACUGGGCCCAUGGUUGUGGGAGCAGAACUGGGCCUCAGGGACCAGAUGCAGGUCCAGGGCAAGAAAAGAUGAGGCAGGAAAGUACAAUAUCUUCCUCUCUAAAUUCAGUGCAUCCUGCCUUCUCUGGGGUACAAACUAGAAUUGAAAUAAUGAAUAGUACUGAAAAGAGCUUGUGUAAAUAACUGGUUGCUCUGAAGUGUGAAACCCUUUUAAAAUACUUUACUGGCUUUGUGUCAGCAUCCAAAUCAUGCACAAAUGUUUCAAAUUUUCCUCCAAAGCCAGUUUCAUCCCAGGUUUUCUUUAAAUGUAUAGUGUUUUGGCAUCUUUCUCUCUCGGUUGUUAUGCUUUGAUAGGCCUCUGCCUGUGACUUACAGGUGAUCUGUGACCUACCCAGCUGCACCAUUUCCAGCCAUCUGUGUAUCUCUAACUGCUUCAAAAAAUCCUUGCCUUUCUUCCAUGUGACUUCUUACUCAUGGAACUGUUUCCAGAACACCUUGAUAAAGAAGCGAGAGCUCUUCCAAACUGCAUCUAAAAGGAGGAACUUUUACCAAGGCAAACACUGGGAAUUUCCCUUAGUCUCUGCUUUUGGGAAAUUUAAACAAGCCUCUAAUCUAGGAAUGGAAAAAAAUGUGGCCUAAGGAAGUUUGUAGGCUGCAACUCGUUUCAGUCCUGCUCAGCAUAGCCAGUGAGGUAGGACUGUGGAUGGUGUAUUCAUGGAACAUCUGGAGGGACAGCAUAUUCCCCCCUCCCUUGCCCUAAUCAAUUUACAGUUUUGACCUGUAUUGGAGGAGGAAGAAAAUGGCACCUGCCAAAGGCAGAACCAAAAGCCAAGCCCUGCCUCCUUUCAAAACCAGGAUCUGCCCUCCUCUUAUAUUUUUUUAAAAAAACUUCUAUUCUUGAAAAAGAUGAAUAAUAUUUAGGGACACAAUUUUAUACUGAGUCAGACCCUUUGUGUCCAUCUGGUCCCAUAUUGUCUCAUUGGCAGUAGCUCCUCAGGAUUUCAAGCAGGGGCCUUCCCAGCCCUAGCUAGAAGCUGUCAAGAGUCCAAUCCGUUCUGCAUAUCAAGCAAGGGCCCUCACUCCCUGUUGAGCUACGACUCCUCUUCUCCCUCUUGACCUAAGACUUGCAUUCCAGCUUCCAUUCCUGAACCAGAGAGGUCUCUAGAAAGAUAAAGGUGACAU
rnacentral:lncRNA from 1 species